rnacentral:rRNA from 1 species
GUAACAGGAAGCAGCUUGCUGCUUCGCUGACGAGUGGCGGACGGGUGAGUAAUGUCUGGGAAACUGCCUGAUGGAGGGGGAUAACUACUGGAAACGGUGGCUAAUACCGCAUAACGUCGCAAGACCAAAGAGGGGGACCUUCGGGCCUCUUGCCAUCAGAUGUGCCCAGAUGGGAUUAGCUUGUUGGUGAGGUAACGGCUCACCAAGGCGACGAUCCCUAGCUGGUCUGAGAGGAUGACCAGCCACACUGGAACUGAGACACGGUCCAGACUCCUACGGGAGGCAGCAGUGGGGAAUAUUGCACAAUGGGCGCAAGCCUGAUGCAGCCAUGCCGCGUGUAUGAAGAAGGCCUUCGGGUUGUAAAGUACUUUCAGCGGGGAGGAAGGUGUUGUGGUUAAUAACCGCAGCAAUUGACGUUACCCGCAGAAGAAGCACCGGCUAACUCCGUGCCAGCAGCCGCGGUAAUACGGAGGGUGCAAGCGUUAAUCGGAAUUACUGGGCGUAAAGCGCACGCAGGCGGUCUGUCAAGUCGGAUGUGAAAUCCCCGGGCUCAACCUGGGAACUGCAUUCGAAACUGGCAGGCUUGAGUCUUGUAGAGGGGGGUAGAAUUCCAGGUGUAGCGGUGAAAUGCGUAGAGAUCUGGAGGAAUACCGGUGGCGAAGGCGGCCCCCUGGACAAAGACUGACGCUCAGGUGCGAAAGCGUGGGGAGCAAACAGGAUUAGAUACCCUGGUAGUCCACGCCGUAAACGAUGUCUACUUGGAGGUUGUGCCCUUGAGGCGUGGCUUCCGGAGCUAACGCGUUAAGUAGACCGCCUGGGGAGUACGGCCGCAAGGUUAAAACUCAAAUGAAUUGACGGGGGCCCGCACAAGCGGUGGAGCAUGUGGUUUAAUUCGAUGCAACGCGAAGAACCUUACCUGGUCUUGACAUCCACAGAACUUUCCAGAGAUGGAUUGGUGCCUUCGGGAACUGUGAGACAGGUGCUGCAUGGCUGUCGUCAGCUCGUGUUGUGAAAUGUUGGGUUAAGUCCCGCAACGAGCGCAACCCUUAUCCUUUGUUGCCAGCGGUCCGGCCGGGAACUCAAAGGAGACUGCCAGUGAUAAACUGGAGGAAGGUGGGGAUGACGUCAAGUCAUCAUGGCCCUUACGACCAGGGCUACACACGUGCUACAAUGGCGCAUACAAAGAGAAGCGACCUCGCGAGAGCAAGCGGACCUCAUAAAGUGCGUCGUAGUCCGGAUUGGAGUCUGCAACUCGACUCCAUGAAGUCGGAAUCGCUAGUAAUCGUGGAUCAGAAUGCCACGGUGAAUACGUUCCCGGGCCUUGUACACACCGCCCGUCACACCAUGGGAGUGGGUUGCAAAAGAAGUAGGUAGCUUAACCUUCGGGAGGGCGCUUACCACUUUGUGAUUCAUGACUGGGGUGAAGUCGUAACAAGGUAACCGUAGGGGAACCUGCGGUUGGA